GACUAUUCGGAUUAAAAGGGAAUCGGGUGAAAAUCCCGGACAGUCCCGCUGCUGUGAAACUCUGCUAAUAUCUUGAAAACAGACCUUUGCCACUGGUUCUUUUUAUAGAACCGGGAAGGCUUCAAGAUAAGGAGUCAGUCAGAAGACCUGCCAUUCAUCAA
rnacentral:ncRNA from 1 species